rnacentral:rRNA from 1 species
GACGAACCGUGCGAACGUUGUUCGGAAUCACUGGGCUUAAAGGGCGCGUAGGCGGCGUGGUAAGUCACUUGUGAAAUCUCUGAGCUUAACUCAGAACGGCCAAGUGAUACUGCUGUGCUAGAGUGCAGAAGGGGCAAUCGGAAUUCUUGGUGUAGCGGUGAAAUGCGUAGAUAUCAAGAGGAACACCUGAGGUGAAGACGGGUUGCUGGGCUGACACUGACGCUGAGGCGCGAAAGCCAGGGGAGCAAACGGG